rnacentral:rRNA from 1 species
UACGGAGGGGGCAAGCGUUAUUCGGAAUUAUUGGGCGUAAAGGGCGCGUAGGCGGCUAGAUGUGUCAAAGGUGAAAUCCCUCGGCUCAACUGAGGAACUGCCCUUGAAACUGUCUGGCUUGAGGCCGGGAGAGGGUAGCGGAAUUCCCAGUGUAGCGGUGAAAUGCGUAGAUAUCGGGAGGAACACCUGCGGUGUAGACGGCUUACUGGACCGUAACUGACGCUGAGGCACGAAAGCGUGGGGAGCAAACAGG